rnacentral:lncRNA from 1 species
GACGGAGAUGGAAGGUGAAAAAUCAUCAUUUCCAAUAAAGCAGUGCUAGCUGGUAACCAGGUCUGCAUAACACGCUUCAUCAGAGCCUUCCCCAUCAGGUCCUUCUCAUCACUCUUCAUGGUGACACCAAGCUUUGUCAACAUGGGCCACAACUUAUCCUUCUGAUCAUUCAUGCAGGUGUUGAUGAUCUGCUUGAUGGGUUCGUAACAGAACUGAACAAAACCACGCUUGCAGGUAGCAGUGCCGGUGCUCUUGCUGGUCCAUUUCUUCGUAGCUGGGUCAAAAAAGUUCUCACCCCAGAGCCUUUCCAUCAUCUUUGACUCAUCAACUCCAAACUUGGAAGCAUACAUCUUAGCGAAGUUGGUCAGAGUGAAAGCCCAACCGUGCAAACCAGCUGAGAAGGCGACUGUUCCUUUCUCUGGGUACACUUGGACAUCACCAAGAAGUGGAUCUUCAUAUGUAGCCAUAAUGACAUUAGCAUUCUCAAUAACCCUUUGGAAUGUCUGGUAAGCUUCCUCUCCAUCAACCUGGAGCUCAAGGAAGCAUCUGUCCAUCUUGUUAACGGUCAAAACAGGCCUGAUCCUCUCUCCCAAUGCUUGACGGAGCACAGUCUCAGUCUGGACACACACACCCUCAAUACAAUCCACCACCACAAGUGCUCCAUCAGUAAUACGCAGAGCAGCUGUGACUUCAGAUGAAAAGUCAACGUGCCCGGGGGAAUCAAUGAGAUUGAUGAGGUACUCAUUUCCGUUCCUCUCUCCCUUGUACCUCUGCAAAGACUCAUCAGUCAUCUCAUAGUACAGAGAGAUACCGGUAGAUUUAAUUGUGAUACCACGCUCUGCCUCAUCUGCGCGAGUAUCAGUCAUCCGAACAUCACCAGCAACUUCUUGUGCAAUGAUACCCGCAGCAGCAACAAGCGAGUCUGUAAGAGUUGACUUCCCUGCAUAUCAAAUUUCAAAAACAUUAUAUGUUUUGAGGAAACACCAUAGGACAUAAACAAAUAAAUGGAUAAAACGCAACUAUACAUAUUAACUGGUGAAAUAUUUCAAAUUAUAACCAAUAGAGAAAAGUUCAAAAUACUGAAAAAAAAUACACUUGACCAAAAUAUUACAACAUUAAAAAUUUUCUUUAACCAGGUUAAUAAAAACACCUUGUAACAAAGACAAGAAUUAUCAAGUGAAAAUAAAAAAGAUCUAUACCGUGAUCAACAUGAGCAAUAACAGACAUAUUGCGAAUGUUGUGCUUGUAGUCCAUAAUCCUACGGAGUUCUUCUGCUGUAAACUUCACCUGCAAUAUCAAGAAUAUCACACCAUUGUGAAUUAAGGAAUCAAUGGAGCAGCUCAGGAAUCACUAUGUAACCAUGUUCAGAUUGAUAGUCAGUGUUUACCAUCUUGACUAGUCUUUAAGAACAACCGGCAAUUAGUUUUUAUAAGAAGCUGAUUAACCGACAAGGAAACACCUGCAAAUUUAAACAACAAAAAAAUGAACUGGAAUUCAACUUGGAAUAUAAACAUUUAAAAUGACUAGAAAAUGACACACCAAUACAUUUCUAUGUUUAAAAAAUGACCAGAAAAAAAAAAUAGCAAUUUGUAUUCCACCAAAAGACUAUUGAAUUCCGGUAAAAGGAAUACAUAAUUUUUACUGUAUCAAGCAAUCUUAAUAAUCAAGACAAGUUAUUCGGUAAACGGUCUUGACAAAAGAAAAGGUAAUCACAAAUCAUUCCUUAUCAAUUAGGAUGAUCCUAUUAAUUUAGGGCCACCAAUAACAACAAAAUAGAAAACAAGUACGCAUAAUAAUUCUCUCUUACAAAUUAGUAUAUUUUAGAACGAAAAUUAUUCUGGAAAAUAUUUUUAUAUUAUUUCUUUGACAUGAAUAGGAAACAAAAUGUUCUGAAAAAAUUACUCAUAAAUUCAAACGAAACCUUAAUUUUCGAAAAUCUUUCCACUAAAAAAAUUGCUCAACGAAACUAUUUUCCAGCAAAACAACAGAGUAUUAGUACGAUCAAAGUAGAAAACAAGAUCUAGCAAAUACAAAACAUCUAGGGUAGUGCUAACCACACACCCACUUUACUUUUCACACACACUCAACUUUCUGCUGUAGGAUAAAAUGAAUUGAAGAAGAUCAAUGGCUAAAAACUAAAAAUGGAUGUGUGAACAAUUUACAAAUACUAGCGAAAUUAUCAUAUAUCACGUAAAAAUUAUCAAAAACGUCAGAAAAUUAUUCCACAGCAAAAAAAAUUUCACGUAAAAAUUUUCCGAUGAACCAACCAGAGCCUGAGAGAGUGAUCUGUACGGAAAACAAGGAUCUAAUACAAACACAUUUCACACAAACAUAUAUACACACACAAUGCAUCCGUAAAACCUGAGCAACGAUCGAAACGAUAAACGAGCAAAGACAUAAUACCAAACCAAAAGCAUGCAUAACAAUAAUAUAUUUCCAACAAUACAAAAUGCAUGCAGAUCACAGAUUUUUCAGAACAACAAAAUGCAUGAUUAACGACGAUAAUCAAGAAAUCACGAGGAUAAUCGGGGGGAUUAAAUCAAAGGAAGCGACUGAUUCGAAUAGCAUAGAAUUAGAGGAACGAACCUGAAGGAUCGGGAGAUGGAGAGCGAGGGAGGGAUGGAGAGAGGAGUGACUCUCCGCAGCCUAGAGCUAGUGGUGCAAAUGGGACUGAGAGAAUGUGUGGAGCCCGGAGGAGGGUGUGAGUGUUAUAUAAGGUUAGGGUUUUCGUUUCUUGGGUUGGGCUCCGCUUUCAUAGUUUAUACUAUUUUCUAGGCCCACCAAAAUCUCCAUCGGCCUUUUUUUAUUCUAAAAUCAUGGGCCUUAGGGCUUUUUAUUUAUUUUUUAUUUUUAACAACAUUAUAUAAUUAUGGAUAAUGAUGGGAAGAUCAAAUUUGAAAAUCAAAUAAAUAGAAAAUUAGCACGUUAAUUAAUAUUUCAAUAAUAAUUCAAUUACAUUUCAUAAUCAUAAAAGUCGACUAAGUGCAAAAAGACGGCCACACAUGACCUUUGCCAAUCGACCUAUUCCACAGUUGUAUGACCUAGGUUAAGAAGGUCAAAGCUUCUUGUUAGACACUCAAAACUCAAAACUUCAAAUUCUUGUUUAUUAAUUAAACAAAAAAUAUUGAGAAAAGUUAUUAGCAUUUUAGUAUGGCAUGUUUUUCUUUGAUUGUAAGUGAGAGAAAAGUGAGAAGUGGAAAUGAAUACAACUACACUGUCGUGCUAAGCAGCCUCCAAUAUUCGUAAGGUAGGCAUAAACUUCUUCGUCUAAUAAACGUUUUCUAAAUAUGAGCCUAGGGUUUAUUUACAAGAUAUACAUAUAUUCUAACCAAUUCACUUAACCCAACCCACACUUGCAAAGAUAGCCUAGAUUUAAAAAGCCUUAGCUCCCCCAAACACUUCUACUUUGGACACCAAACCCCAACUCUCUUUUUUUCAUUUUUGUAGCCAAAACUAUAGUAUCUACAUGUAACAACAUUGAUAUCAAGUCGAUGAAUUGUAUAGCAUGAAUUUUAAAGGGUGUUUGUUUGCCCUCACUAAGCUUCACUAGAUUGGAUUGGCUUAGCUGGAAUUUCUAAUUCGUGUUUGGUUGGAACAAGGAUUAAGUAUAAUGGGACUAAGUCGGAUUCGUGCCAACUAAGUCCUUCACUCCCAGUUCUUAGCUAGGUUGCCCGAAACAUAUGGGAUUGCUAAUCCCGUCUCUAAAGCUGUGUACAAAGUCUGCACGCUGCAUCAUCUACACGCUGCAAGUCAUCUGCAAUCAUGCUUCUUUGCAACUCUGUUUGGCCACCUAUGCCCAGAUCUGAAACCCACCACACCCACUGCCUAAUUCUCAACAUCCAACUACCAAAAUUCGAAAAGAAAAAAAGUCAAUUCGAUAACAACAACAAACUCAAUAGAAAAAUUCUUCAUUUUUCCUAGAAAAUUAAGAGAAUUUUUGAGACAAUCAAAGGAGUGGCGAGAAAUAGAGUGGUCGUGAAAUCCAUGACGCAGCAGAGGGGUGCCUCUGCACGAUUUCAAUUCUCCGUGGGAUAUGAAGUUGGGAAACCAGAAUCUGUGGUGCCAGAAAUAGUUUAGAGGAAUCACAACAGCAAAGAAAAGGAAAGGGAAAAAAAGAGAACAAAACGGGGGUGAUGAAUGACGUUGAGUGAGGAGAGAGUGGAAAGGAAAAGAAAAAGACGAAGAGAGUGGAAAGGAAAAAUAAGAAAAAAAUGUGGAAAGAAAAAAAUGUGAAGAAAAAAAUGACGAAAUUAUUUGAUUUUCCAAAAUAAUGUAGUCCGUAACUUAGUCCGAUAUUGCAUCAACCGCUCCAUUAUUCUUAUCCUACUUAGUCCAUGCCUAGCCAAUCUAACUUAAUCUUUAAAGCUAAUCUAGUCCGAAAUAAUCCAAUACAACAAACGCACCCAAUCCCAUAUUGAUGCAGGCCAACCAAAUUCAUAAACUAGCACAAUUAAGAAUACAAAGCCGCUGGUUCCACAACUUACAAAACCUGAAUCAAACACGAGCUAGAGCGGUUUUCGGCACCUGUGCAGCCACUCGUAUUGGCGGCGCGCGAGCCGAGCAUUGCAACCACCACCUUCGAGGCGUUUUCCCAUCUCUAAUGAAAUAGUAGCAGAAGAAGCUGUUGCAGGUCUUCAAGUUAGAAAGAACAAACAUCAAUCAAAUACAUGAAACAAAGUAGACAAAAGUAUAGUAAAUUCAAAAAGCGUGUAGCAACAAUGGCAGAAAUUGUUCCACAAGCAACAAGGUAAAAGCAGAACAUUAUAAAGGUCUCUGUUCUGAGCACGCACAAAACAUUUAACUACUGGCACCCAGAUGCUGACUACAGCAACAAUGUUAACAACAUUAAACAAAAACGAUUAAACUGGAAACCAAAAAAUUAACGCAGUGCAUCGAAAACAAAUUAUUACUCAAAGCUUGUCCUCAAACUCGGAUAGUGGGGUCAUCUGCUCCUUCAAUCCCUUCCUCUUACGGAUGUCGGUAACAAGUGCUGCAGCCUGGGAUCCAGCUUCCAAUGGAUCAGACGACAUCAUCUCCCAAUGAUCAAACACACAUUGUGGGAAAGCCUGUCCAGAAGUUGCAGCCCUCAGUUGACCAGAGAAUCCAAAGGACUCGACAACGGGGAGGUAUGCCUUGAUGUUGUAAAGUGGAGUUCCCGGCCUCUGCAUCUCCUCAAACACGUGUCCACGUUUCUGAUUCAGAACACUGUAUAUACCUCCAAGAGCCCCCUCUGGAGCUUGAAUUUCAACAAGAUACACUGGUUCGAGAAGCCUUGGCUUGGCUGUGAGCUGAGAGGCAUAGAUGACCCUCCGAGCAGUUGGAAUGACCUGACCUCCCCCUCUGUGGAUGGCAUCAGCGUGAAGAACCACAUCACAAACUUCAAAGCAAAUACCUCUCAUGUUUUCUUCUGCCAAUGCACCUUCCUUUGAGGCCCACUGGAACCCAGCAACAACUGAAUCCUUGAUUUCAUUAAGGUACUGGACUCCCUUACACAUGUCGACCACCAUGUUAGGACCAGUGGUCUCGGGACCAAAACACCAGAUUUUCUUAGCAAGAUCCUUGUCCCAACCAAACUCCUCAGCCAAGAUCUUGGAACGAAUCUUGGGAUCAUCUCUUGGGCCAAUGCGACCUUCAUCAAUAGCCUCAGGAAGCCCUUCCUCAAGGGGCCUUGCUUCCAUGUACAGACGGUUAUGCUUGUUUGGAGACUUGCUCAUCACUGUACGGCAGGACUUAUCAAGGACAGUCUCACGGAAGGACACAACAGGGUCAGACUUUAUAAUCUCAGCACCACCCAUAAAAUCAUCUUGCAGAUCCUUCAAACAGAUCUCAAGAUGCAGUUCACCAGCACCAGCAAUAAUGUGCUCUCCCGACUCCUCAAUGGAGCAGACAACCAUAGGAUCAGACUUGGCCAAACGCUUGAGACCUUCAACAAGUUUGGGAAGGUCAGAUGCAACCUUGCACUGGACAGCAACACGCACGACGGGUGAAACUGAGAACUUCAUAGCACGAAUAGGGUGAGCAUCCACUUCCUUCUCAUUUGUUAAAGUAGCAUUCUUGGUGAUAAACUGAUCCAAACCGACCAAGGCAACAGUGUUACCGCAAGGAACAUCCUCAACAGUUUCUUGUCUCUUUCCCAUCCAAAUAACAGUCCUCUGUACAUUCUUGACAUACAAAUCCUUCUUCUCUCCAGGAACAAAAUUUGGACCCAUGAUUCUAACCUUCAAACCUGUCUGAACUUUACCAGCAAAGACACGGCCAAAGGCAAAGAAUCUACCCUUAUCAGAAGCGGGAAUCAUCUUAGACACAUAGAGCAUAAGAGGUCCUUCGGGGUCACAGUUCCUGAUGGCAUUAGCAUAUUGAUCAUCAAGGGGACCCUCAUACAAAUUCUCAACACGGUACCUUUGAGCCGUGGAAGGAGAUGGAAGGUGAAAGAUCAUCAUUUCCAAUAGAGCAGUGCUAGCUGGUAGCCAGGUCUGCAUAACACGCUUCAUCAAUGCCUUCCCCAUCAGGUCCUUCUCAUCACUCUUCAUGGUGACACCAAGCUUUGUCAACAUGGGCCACAACUUAUCCUUCUGAUCAUUCAUGCACGUGUUGAUGAUCUGCUUGAUGGGCUCAUAACAGAACUGAACGAAACCACGCUUGCAGGUUGCAGUUCCGGUGUUCUUGCUGGUCCAUUUCUUCGUAGCUGGGUCAAAAUAGUUCUCACCCCAGAGCCUUUCCAUCAUCUUUGACUCAUCAACUCCAAACUUGGAAGCAUACAUCUUAGCGAAGUUGGUCAGAGUGAAAGCCCAACCGUGCAAACCAGCUGAGAAGGCGACUGUUCCUUUCUCUGGGUAGACCUGAACAUCACCAAGAAGUGGAUCUUCAUAUGUAGCCAUAAUGACAUUGGCAUUCUCAAUAACCCUUUGGAAUGUCUGGUAAGCCUCCUCUCCAUCAACCUGGAGCUCGAGGAAGCACCUGUCCAUCUUGUUAACGGUCAAAACAGGCCUGAUCCUCUCUCCCAAGGCUUGACGGAGCACAGUCUCAGUCUGGACACACACACCCUCAAUACAAUCCACCACCACAAGUGCACCAUCAGUAAUACGCAGAGCAGCUGUGACCUCAGAUGAAAAGUCAACGUGCCCAGGGGAAUCAAUGAGAUUGAUGAGGUACUCAUUUCCGUUUCUCUCUCCCUUGAACCUCUGCAAAGACUCAUCAGUCAUCUCAUAGUACAGAGAGAUACCGGUAGAUUUAAUUGUGAUACCACGCUCAGCUUCAUCGGCACGGGUAUCCGUCAUACGGACAUCACCGGCGACUUCUUGUGCAAUGAUACCAGCAGCAGCAACAAGAGAGUCUGUAAGGGUUGACUUCCCUGCAAGAAGGAAAAAAUUAACAUUAUUGCUUUAUCACGCAUCCACAGAUACAACAUAACAAGAAACAAGAAAAUCAAACAAGCUGCAAAUUACAAUGGACAUCACGAAAAAAAAAUUAAAUUGCAUAAACAUCCCUAUUUAAGACAAAAAGAUAUUCGGAAAACUAUCCGGCUUGGAUGAGAAAAAUAUAAAAGCAUUUAAAUAUGCAUACAAAUCUGUUCUAAACAACAUUAUGUGAGUAAAAUAAGUGCAUAUUAAUAUGUACCAUGGUCGACGUGCGCAAUAACAGACAUAUUACGGAUGUUAUGUUUGUAGUCCAUAAUCCUACGGAGCUCCUCUGCUGUGAACUUCACCUGCAUAUACGGAAACAUAUAUCUCAAUUAAGAAUAAGCAGAUAAUGAAAUUUUAAGCAACACACUAAACCAAAAUAAUGGAAGGAGCAACUUACCAUCUUGUCUUUUCUUCAAAUGUCACCUUCAAAAUUACUAUUAAUACCUUCAGACACAACAGUAAAAAUAACACGAUUAGAUAAAUAAACAAGAAAAAAAAUUAACAAGAUCCAAAAGACUUCAUCAGAUAUUCGAACAAUUACACACACAAAAAAAAAAAAAAAAUCCAAAAGCAUGUGAUGAAAGUAAAUUUACAGAACCUUGAAGAUUUACAAGAUUUUCUACGAAAGAAUUUUGUUACAUACAAUAUGUAGAUUGAACAUACAAGAUAUCCGUUUAAAUCUGUUAUGCGAUUAAUCAAGUAAAUUCAUAUAAUAUUCACUUAAGUUUCAUGUGAGUUAUAAAAUAGCAAGCUCAAAAGCACUUUUAUUCAUCCAAAUAAGCUCAAAAGCACUUCUGUUCAUCCAAACAAGCAAAUAAGCAGAAAAAAUUCAAUCGAAUCCAUUUGAAGACAUAAAAAUCGAAAAUAAUACUAAUUUCACAACCUAAUUACAGAUCUUGAGCAAGAAAAAUCGAAAAAAAUGAACAGAAAAUCAAAUAAUUGAACUAAAUGAGCAUGUUAAUUACUUCAAAACAAGUAACGCUGGGAAAUAUCAGAUCUAAAUAUAGUAGAGAGAGAAAGAGAGAGAGAGGGAACCAGGUGACAAGGUGCGAGAGAGGCGGCAGGCGAAGGAAAUGGAGCUAGAACGUUAGACCUCUCCUUUAAAAGGGCAGGAGGGUUUGAGGUGAGAGAAUAAAAUAAAAGCGUGACUGAAGGUAUAUGCGGUUGUGAAAUAGAGUCUUCGUUAUCUAGGGUUUUACGAUGAGCUGGGCUGGGCUUUCAUUUUGUAACUGGGCCUGUGGUUUGGUUUUGUAUGAUGGAAGACCCAAUGAGUUUUAAAAAGAGUGUUGUCCCCUCAAUUUUCAACACUCCCUCCUCGCAAGAUAUUUUAGAGAACGUCCUAGGUUUGGGUACUUGGAUCAUGUGUUCGGACGGACUUUAGAUUCACAUUUUUAUGGUCCACCACCUUCUGUUUUGAAACUCACCGCUACCCUAUAUAAUGACUCUAUCUUCUCUUACACCACCUUUAUAGUCCACUACCUUCGAUUUCUCACGCAAGAAUCUCUUCAACUUUUGACACAAUAUGACAACACGACUUGAAACUGACACAAAAGUCGUAAAAAGGAACUCAACUUGUAUGAUUGAAGCAUUGAAUUCAUCUACUUUUCAAGGGGGUAAGAAGACAUUCAAAACUCCAAAAAGGGAAAGGUUUCACAUUCAAAUACAAUUACAAGUUGGUGUGACAAUAUCAUUACGUUGUAGUCAUACAUAGUGUUAUGAGUUCAUCCAAAUCAUAUUACUUGUAUCUAAACUUUGGUCCCUGAACCCUAGGCGUAAGACAUGUGUUUAUGCUAUAGUUGGUGUGAACUUAUAACAUACAUUGCGUCAACAUUGCCAAGUGAGAUUAUCAUCAACACUGAUGCAAUAGUUUUUUAACCUUAAUUAUAUUGUGUAUUGUUUUCUUGGAAUCGGCUACAUAUAUUUAGUUAUUACAUUCGUCGCAUAACAGUCAGAUAUGCAAUUAAAAAGAGAGUAUUAUUGGUAUGGAGGGUCAUCUUGUGUUAUUUGUAUGAUGGGCCUCGAUCUGGAUCAAAUGAUCAGUACCUAGCCAUGUUCACCCGAUUUUCAUGCAGGUUGCGUUGUCUAGUGGCUGUUGAUCAGUCACUGGUGUGGUGUCUCUUGUGCCGAUACCAAAUGGCAACCGUCGAAGAGGGGAGCCAUCAAUACCCAUAAUUGAGGAGAUUAUUGUUGGGGCCUUGUGUUUAUUUAAAAACUAGUUAUAAUUUUAUUUAGAAAUUAGCUCUCCUAUUUUUAUGGAUGACCACAUCUUUUCUAUUAAACAGAUUUUGUUUUGAAGAUAAAAGUAAAGAUCUAGUCUUCCUCAACCAGGUGAUCACUUCCAGAUUUUUUGGCCUAAUUCUUAGGCUACAUUUUCUUCAACAUCUUCAAUGUUAACUUUGAGCUUUCUGUAUAAAUAUAAGGACCUCUCUUUAGUCGAAGUAUAAGAGACAAAAAGCUAAAAAAAA